GAAAAUGAGUAAGGAAGGGGAGGAAGGACUUAGGCAAAGAAUUAAGGAUCGCAUCCUUAGCGAGCUGCUCGUGCAAGGGAAAGCCCAGUUUACUUAGGUGCUCAAUCAUUUCGAUCAUGUACAAUACAUGAUCAGUGACUGAGGCCCCAUCCCUCAUUCGAGCAUUGAAAAUGGUACAACUAGUUUUGUGUCUUUCAACAUCGUCAGGCAUGCCAAAAGAGUCGUUCAACAUUUGAAGCAUCUCCUGCGGUUGGGCAUUCUCGAACCUGCAACUGAACUCAUCAUUCAUUGCCACCAGCAUUAUGCACCGUACGGUGGUGCGAUCGUUGAGCCACUUCUGGUAAGUAUCUCAGACCGUUCCUCUAGCAUUCGGGGCUGGCUCCUCAGGUGCCGGAUCCGUUACUACAUAAAGGAUCCA
rnacentral:lncRNA from 1 species